rnacentral:rRNA from 1 species
UACGAAGGGGGCUAGCGUUGCUCGGAAUCACUGGGCGUAAAGGGUGCGUAGGCGGGUCUUUAAGUCAGGGGUGAAAUCCUGGAGCUCAACUCCAGAACUGCCUUUGAUACUGAAGAUCUUGAGUUCGGGAGAGGUGAGUGGAACUCGAGUGUAGAGGUGAAAUUCGUAGAUAUUCGGCAAGAACACCAGUGGCGAAGGCGGCUCACUGGUCCGGUACUGACGCUGAGGUGCGAAAGCGUGGG